GAUGAACGCUGACGGCGUGCCUAAUACAUGCAAGUCGAGCGAACAGACGAGGAGCUUGCUCCUCUGACGUUAGCGGCGGACGGGUGAGUAACACGUGGAUAACCUACCUAUAAGACUGGGAUAACUUCGGGAAACCGGAGCUAAUACCGGAUAAUAUAUUGAACCGCAUGGUUCAAUAGUGAAAGACGGUUUUGCUGUCACUUAUAGAUGGAUCCGCGCCGCAUUAGCUAGUUGGUAAGGUAACGGCUUACCAAGGCGACGAUGCGUAGCCGACCUGAGAGGGUGAUCGGCCACACUGGAACUGAGACACGGUCCAGACUCCUACGGGAGGCAGCAGUAGGGAAUCUUCCGCAAUGGGCGAAGGCCUGACGGAGCAACGCCGCGUGAGUGAUGAAGGUCUUCGGAUCGUAAAACUCUGUUAUUAGGGAAGAACAAAUGUGUAAGUAACUAUGCACGUCUUGACGGUACCUAAUCAGAAAGCCACGGCUAACUACGUG
rnacentral:rRNA from 1 species